rnacentral:rRNA from 1 species
AUUUCACUCCUACCCAAGAAGGAAUCACCUUUGGAGCUGCGCGACUUCAGGCCAAUUUCGAUUGUUCAUAGUGUCCCAAAGUUGGCUAGCAAGGUCCUUGCCCACAGAUUACAGCUGCAAAUCCCCUCCUUGGUUCACCCUCUACAAUCUGGCUUCCUCAAGGGUCGUUCCAUAAUUGAGAACUUUGUUAUGGUUGCUGACAUGGUUCAAACAACACACAAAAGGAAACUACCUAUGGUGGCUCUCAAGCCGGACUUCCAAAAGGCGUUCGACACUGUCAGCUGGGCCUGUCUCUUCAGCAUUCUCCAGGCCCGCGGUUUCCCUUCUAGAUGGAUCAACUGGAUCUCAUCGCUCCUGACCACGGCUAGCUCCAAAAUCAUGCUUAAUGGUGACCUUGGAGAGUCUUUUGUUGCAAGGAGGGGUUUUCGCCAGGGCGACUCCAUCUCGCCAUACCUAUUCAUUUUAGUCGCUGAUGUCCUACAGAGGUUGUGCUGUUUGCGUUUUGAAGACGGCAGCCUGAUACACCCGCUUGGUUCUGACAGACUGUACUUGGUGCUACAAUACGCUGACGAUACACUUCUUUUGUUCCAAGGCAGCACUCAGCAAGCAGCCAUCGUCAAACAGAUUCUGUCUGAUUUCUCAAGUUUCACCGGCCUGCAAAUCAACUACCACAAGAGUACUAUGAUCCCUAUCUGUAUCGACCCGAACAGUGCAUAG